rnacentral:lncRNA from 1 species
CGAUACUCUAACUAGUCGUCGUUUGUUCAAGUUUUUUGGUGGCCAUACAUUGGAUGCUCUUAUCAAAAUUACUUGUUUUUGUAUGAUGGGUGAUGAUUAGACUUGAAAGUUUGAGUUUGGAAUUUGGGUUUUGGGGAAAAGAAAGAAAACUCUUUGGAAUUAAUGAGAGAAUAACUAAAGGAUAAUAGAGGAUAUAUAUAAAUAUGCAUAUAUAUAUUUUUAUUUCAAAA